rnacentral:rRNA from 1 species
AGUCACCGCCAUACCACCCUGGAUGCACCUGAUCUUCUCUGACCUCAGAAGCUAAGCAGGGUCAGACCUGGUUAGUUCUUGGAUGAGAGAUGGGGGCCACCCAGAUCA